AGCGAACGCUGGCGGCAGGCCUAACACAUGCAAGUCGAACGAUCCUUCGGGAUAGUGGCGGACGGGUGAGUAACACGUGGGAACGUGCCUUUUGGUUCGGAACAACUCAGGGAAACUUGAGCUAAUACCGAAUGUGCCCUUCGGGGAAAGAUUUAUCGCCAUUAGAGCGGCCCGCGUCUGAUUAGCUUGUUGGUGAGGUA
rnacentral:rRNA from 1 species